UACGUAGGGUCCGAGCGUUGUCCGGAAUUAUUGGGCGUAAAGGGCUCGUAGGCGGUCUGUUGCGUCGGGAGUGAAAAUUCACAGCUUAACUGUGAACUUGCUUCCGAUACGGGCAGACUUGAGGUAUUCAGGGGAGAACGGAAUUCCUGGUGUAGCGGUGAAAUGCGUAGAUAUCUGGAGGAACACCGGUGGCGAAGGCGGCAUCCUGGACCGACAUUGACGCUGAGGCGCGAAAGCCAGGGGAGCAAACGGG
rnacentral:rRNA from 1 species